rnacentral:tmRNA from 1 species
GGGGAUGUAACGGUUUCGACGGGGGUGUGGAGGCAGGAAUAGCGGGCGGAUGCGCCUACCAUCCAUAAAAUGGGCAACUUAUAAAUUAAAGAACGACGAUAACACCGUUCUUCUCGCUGCCUAAGCAGUGAGCGUCCCACCCGGGAGGACCACGGCCCGGGAGGGGGCGUCGAUCAGUGGUGCACGUGAGUACGGUAAGCUUUGCCCGUGCCAUGCAUCAUGAAGCUACCAAAGUCCGCAGCAUGACGGCUUGCGUCGGACGGCGGGAAUCUCAAACAACCGUCUGCGCCCGGAGAAGUUCCUGUUAAAACGCUUUCGGACGGGGGUUCAACUCCCCCCAUCUCCACCA